UAUGAGUAUUCUAGCUCAAUUUUACUAUUUUUAAAAAAGUUCAUAUGUAAAUUUUAGUGAGACGUAAGAAAGCUUUUAAAUAAAUUACGAUUUUAUGAGGUCGCAGUGAAAAAUUUUAUUUAUUUAGGGAUCUGAGAAAUAGUUAAUUUUGAAAUAUAAACUAAGUUUGUGCCAGCAGUUGCGGUUAUACUUACUAUGUAAUGGUAAAUUUUUAGUUGUAGACAAAUAUUGAAGUUGUGAAUUAAAAAUUUAAUUUAUUAGGUGAAAUUUUAAUUUUUUUUUUGGUUUAUUUUUAUGAUGUUGAAUUUAAUAAAGUUUUAGUAUAGACUAGGAUUAGAUACCCUAUUAUAAAAAGUUUAAAUUUAAAGGCUAAAUUAGUAGUAGUUGUGUUCUUGAAAAUUAAAGGAGCUGGCGGUUUUUUAGUCUAUUCAGAGGAACUUGUCCUAUAAUCGAUGGUCCACGAUAAGAGGUACUUAUUUUUUAAAUUUACAUAUCGCCGUGGGUUGAAUAUCUUUUAAGAGUUAAAAUGUUCAAUAGUUUUAGUGAAAUUAAAUCAGGUCAAGGUGUAGUUUAUAAAUGAGAAGAGAUGAGUUACAAUAAAUUUAUUUGAUGGAUGAAAAUUUUUAAAGUUUUUGGAAAAUGGAUUUGAAAGUAAUUUUAAAAAUUUUUUUAAAAUGAUUUUAGCUCUAAAAUAUGUACAUAUCGCCCGUCGCUUUCAUUACAAGGUGAAAUAAGUCGUAACAAAGUAGAUGUACUGGAAAGUGUCUCUAGAAAGA
rnacentral:ncRNA from 1 species